rnacentral:lncRNA from 1 species
CCUUCGCAGGUGUGCUAACUCGCAUCAAAAACUCUAAAUGGCUGAUCCAAGCUCCUUUCUUCAGAUCUCCUGGACUCUUCUAGAUCAAAGGAUGAAGCUUUACAAAGAGAUGGUGGUGUGGAAGAUUGAACAAGACUCACUUUUAUAUUUUUAUUCUCACAAAAUCUAGAGUUGAAACCCUAGACCCUACACCUCACGCCCG